rnacentral:rRNA from 1 species
UACAGAGGGGGCGAGCGUUGUUCGGAAUUACUGGGCGUAAAGGGCGCGUAGGCGGCCAACUAAAUCAGACGUGAAAUCCCUCGGCUCAACCGGGGAACUGCGUCUGAUACUGGAUGGCUUGAAUUCGGGAGAGGGAUGCGGAAUUCCAGGUGUAGCGGUGAAAUGCGUAGAUAUCUGGAGGAACACCAAUGGCGAAGGCAGCUCGCUGGGACGUGACUGACGCUGAGACGCGAAAGCGUGGGGAGCAAACAGG